CUCGCCCUGCCGCCGCCGGUGCUCCGUCGCCGCCGCGCCGCCAUGGAAUUCGAACGCUGACGUCAUCAACCCGCUCCAAGGAAUCGCGGGCCCAGUGUCACUAGGCGGGAACACCCAGCGCGCGUGCGCCCUGGCAGGAAGAUGGCUGUGAGGGACAGGGGAGUGGCGCCCUGCAAUAUUUGCAUGUCGCUAUGUGUUCUGGGAAAUCACCAUAAACGUGAAAUGUCUUUGGAUUUGGGAAUCUUAUAAGUUCUGUAUGAGACCACUUUUUCCCAUAGGGCGGAGGGAAGCUCAUCAGUGGGGCCACGAGCUGAGUGCGUCCUGUCACUCCACUCCCAUGUCCCUUGGGAAGGUCUGAGACUAGGGCCAGAGGCGGCCCUAACAGGGCUCUCCCUGAGCUUCGGGGAGGUGAGUUCCCAGAGAACGGGGCUCCGCGCGAGGUCAGACUGGGCAGGAGAUGCCGUGGACCCCGCCCUUCGGGGAGGGGCCCGGCGGAUGCCUCCUUUGCCGGAGCUUGGAACAGACUCACGGCCAGCGAAGUGAGUUCAAUGGCUGAGGUGAGGUACCCCGCAGGGGACCUCAUAACCCAAUUCAGACUACUCUCCUCCGCCCAUUUUUGGAAAAAAAAAAAAAAAAAA
ensembl:lncRNA ribonuclease P RNA component H1